GACGAACGCUGGCGGCGUGCUUAACACAUGCAAGUCGAACGGAAAGGCCCUGCUUUUGUGGGGUGCUCGAGUGGCGAACGGGUGAGUAACACGUGAGUAACCUGCCCUUGACUUUGGGAUAACUUCAGGAAACUGGGGCUAAUACCGGAUAGGAGCUCCUGCCGCAUGGUGGGGGUUGGAAAGUUUCGGCGGUUGGGGAUGGACUCGCGGCUUAUCAGCUUGUUGGUGGGGUAGUGGCUUACCAAGGCUUUGACGGGUAGCCGGCCUGAGAGGGUGACCGGACACAUUGCGACUGAGAUACGGCCCAGACUCCUACGGGAGGCAGCAGUGGGGAAUAUUGCACAAUGGGCGGAAGCCUGAUGCAGCAACGCCGCGUGGGGGAUGACGGCAUUCGGGUUGUAAACCGAUUUCGCCUGUGACGAAGCGUGAGUGACGGUAAUGGGUAAAGAAGCACCGGCUAACUACGUG
rnacentral:rRNA from 1 species